GUGCUUCGUGUAGGUGAGCAAGAACCGUCGGGUGCCGUGUUGAAGAUGAUGUGGGGGCUGCCACUGAAGUUCAAAGGCUUUUGAUGAAGGUGAUGCCAUAACACCUCUCUUUUUGGAUUUAUGGGAUACUUGAAGUUCAACUUCAAGUGGUUGGAAGCUUGAAGAUGAAGAUCUUCAAGUAAGGUAUGAAGAACUACCUUCUCCUCUUUCCUUACUUUGGAACUAAGAAACUUUACAAUUAUGAGAGAAGUGAGAAAGCAAGUAGUUAAGGUUGCUUUGGUGUCCUUUGCUUCAAAGAGAUCAUUUCCUAUUUAUAGGCAAAGCUUAGGAUGUGUUAGGAAUUAGGAAACUUGAUUGGAAUGUUAUGGUCAUUGCAAGAAUAGGAAUAUAUUCUUCAUCAUUGCAAGAAUAAGAAUAAGAAUAUAUUCUUCAUCAUUGCAAGAAUAAGAAUAAGAAUAAGAAUAUAUUCCUUAUGUCAUUAUGCAAAGAUAUUCUCAUGAUAUAAGCCAUGUGUGUAAAUUUUUAUGUCAUUUUAUGAUAUCUCUAAGUUGCAUAAUUUUAUGACAUAAAAAUCUCUCUUUGACAUUCUUUGACUUUUGCUAAUUUCACCCCUCUUUUUGUUUCUUUUUUCAUGUUGCAUGAGGACCUUUGAAGAAAGAAUGAAGAAAUUUGAACUUGAAGAAUGAAGACUUUGAAGAAUGAAGAAUUCAAGAAAGUCUUUGAAGUUUUUUUUUUCUUUUUUCUUGUAAUUCAUUCCAACUUGAAAAUGUAUGAACUUUGUAUUCUUGAAAUGAUGUAAUUCUUGAACUUUAGAUAAAGUUCCUUUUGUAAUCCAUGUGUAACUUAGAACUUGUUUUAUGUAAAAGAAUUCCAUUUGGAAAUAUUCUUUUAGAAUCUUGAAUGAAAUUGUAUGGAACUUGAAUA